rnacentral:rRNA from 1 species
UACGUAGGGUGCAAGCGUUAAUCGGAAUUACUGGGCGUAAAGCGUGCGCAGGCGGUUUUGUAAGACAGGUGUGAAAUCCCCGGGCUUAACCUGGGAACUGCAUUUGUGACUGCAAGGCUGGAGUGCGGCAGAGGGGGAUGGAAUUCCGCGUGUAGCAGUGAAAUGCGUAGAUAUGCGGAGGAACACCGAUGGCGAAGGCAAUCCCUUGGGCCUGCACUGACGCUCAUGCACGAAAGCGUGGGGAGCAAAUAGG